GGGUUGUGAGGUUAAGCGACUAAGCGUACACGGUGGAUGCCCUGGCAGUCAGAGGCGAUGAAGGACGUGCUAAUCUGCGAUAAGCGUCGGUAAGGUGAUAUGAACCGUUAUAACCGGCGAUUUCCGAAUGGGGAAACCCAGUGUGUUUCGACACACUAUCAUUAACUGAAUCCAUAGGUUAAUGAGGCGAACCGGGGGAACUGAAACAUCUAAGUACCCCGAGGAAAAGAAAUCAACCGAGAUUCCCCCAGUAGCGGCGAGCGAACGGGGAGCAGCCCAGAGCCUGAAUCAGUGUGUGUGUUAGUGGAAGCGUCUGGAAAGGCGCGCGAUACAGGGUGACAGCCCCGUACACAAAAAUGCACAUGCUGUGAGCUCGAUGAGUAGGGCGGGACACGUGGUAUCCUGUCUGAAUAUGGGGGGACCAUCCUCCAAGGCUAAAUACUCCUGACUGACCGAUAGUGAACCAGUACCGUGAGGGAAAGGCGAAAAGAACCCCGGCGAGGGGAGUGAAAAAGAACCUGAAACCGUGUACGUACAAGCAGUGGGAGCCUCUUUUAUGGGGUGACUGCGUACCUUUUGUAUAAUGGGUCAGCGACUUAUAUUCUGUAGCAAGGUUAACCGAAUAGGGGAGCCGAAGGGAAACCGAGUCUUAACUGGGCGUUAAGUUGCAGGGUAUAGACCCGAAACCCGGUGAUCUAGCCAUGGGCAGGUUGAAGGUUGGGUAACACUAACUGGAGGACCGAACCGACUAAUGUUGAAAAAUUAGCGGAUGACUUGUGGCUGGGGGUGAAAGGCCAAUCAAACCGGGAGAUAGCUGGUUCUCCCCGAAAGCUAUUUAGGUAGCGCCUCGUGAAUUCAUCUCCGGGGGUAGAGCACUGUUUCGGCAAGGGGGUCAUCCCGACUUACCAACCCGAUGCAAACUGCGAAUACCGGAGAAUGUUAUCACGGGAGACACACGGCGGGUGCUAACGUCCGUCGUGAAGAGGGAAACAACCCAGACCGCCAGCUAAGGUCCCAAAGUCAUGGUUAAGUGGGAAACGAUGUGGGAAGGCCCAGACAGCCAGGAUGUUGGCUUAGAAGCAGCCAUCAUUUAAAGAAAGCGUAAUAGCUCACUGGUCGAGUCGGCCUGCGCGGAAGAUGUAACGGGGCUAAACCAUGCACCGAAGCUGCGGCAGCGACGCUUAUGCGUUGUUGGGUAGGGGAGCGUUCUGUAAGCCUGUGAAGGUGUGCUGUGAGGCAUGCUGGAGGUAUCAGAAGUGCGAAUGCUGACAUAAGUAACGAUAAAGCGGGUGAAAAGCCCGCUCGCCGGAAGACCAAGGGUUCCUGUCCAACGUUAAUCGGGGCAGGGUGAGUCGACCCCUAAGGCGAGGCCGAAAGGCGUAGUCGAUGGGAAACAGGUUAAUAUUCCUGUACUUGGUGUUACUGCGAAGGGGGGACGGAGAAGGCUAUGUUGGCCGGGCGACGGUUGUCCCGGUUUAAGCGUGUAGGCUGGUUUUCCAGGCAAAUCCGGAAAAUCAAGGCUGAGGCGUGAUGACGAGGCACUACGGUGCUGAAGCAACAAAUGCCCUGCUUCCAGGAAAAGCCUCUAAGCAUCAGGUAACAUCAAAUCGUACCCCAAACCGACACAGGUGGUCAGGUAGAGAAUACCAAGGCGCUUGAGAGAACUCGGGUGAAGGAACUAGGCAAAAUGGUGCCGUAACUUCGGGAGAAGGCACGCUGAUAUGUAGGUGAAGUCCCUCGCGGAUGGAGCUGAAAUCAGUCGAAGAUACCAGCUGGCUGCAACUGUUUAUUAAAAACACAGCACUGUGCAAACACGAAAGUGGACGUAUACGGUGUGACGCCUGCCCGGUGCCGGAAGGUUAAUUGAUGGGGUCAGCGCAAGCGAAGCUCUUGAUCGAAGCCCCGGUAAACGGCGGCCGUAACUAUAACGGUCCUAAGGUAGCGAAAUUCCUUGUCGGGUAAGUUCCGACCUGCACGAAUGGCGUAAUGAUGGCCAGGCUGUCUCCACCCGAGACUCAGUGAAAUUGAACUCGCUGUGAAGAUGCAGUGUACCCGCGGCAAGACGGAAAGACCCCGUGAACCUUUACUAUAGCUUGACACUGAACAUUGAGCCUUGAUGUGUAGGAUAGGUGGGAGGCUUUGAAGUGUGGACGCCAGUCUGCAUGGAGCCGACCUUGAAAUACCACCCUUUAAUGUUUGAUGUUCUAACGUGGACCCGUGAUCCGGGUUGCGGACAGUGUCUGGUGGGUAGUUUGACUGGGGCGGUCUCCUCCUAAAGAGUAACGGAGGAGCACGAAGGUUGGCUAAUCCUGGUCGGACAUCAGGAGGUUAGUGCAAUGGCAUAAGCCAGCUUGACUGCGAGCGUGACGGCGCGAGCAGGUGCGAAAGCAGGUCAUAGUGAUCCGGUGGUUCUGAAUGGAAGGGCCAUCGCUCAACGGAUAAAAGGUACUCCGGGGAUAACAGGCUGAUACCGCCCAAGAGUUCAUAUCGACGGCGGUGUUUGGCACCUCGAUGUCGGCUCAUCACAUCCUGGGGCUGAAGUAGGUCCCAAGGGUAUGGCUGUUCGCCAUUUAAAGUGGUACGCGAGCUGGGUUUAGAACGUCGUGAGACAGUUCGGUCCCUAUCUGCCGUGGGCGCUGGAGAACUGAGGGGGGCUGCUCCUAGUACGAGAGGACCGGAGUGGACGCAUCACUGGUGUUCGGGUUGUCAUGCCAAUGGCACUGCCCGGUAGCUAAAUGCGGAAGAGAUAAGUGCUGAAAGCAUCUAAGCACGAAACUUGCCCCGAGAUGAGUUCUCCCUGACCCUUUAAGGGUCCUGAAGGAACGUUGAAGACGACGACGUUGAUAGGCCGGGUGUGUAAGCGCAGCGAUGCGUUGAGCUAACCGGUACUAAUGAACCGUGAGGCUUAACCUUACAACGCCGAAGCUGUU
rnacentral:rRNA from 1 species